CUUUGUCAUGCAAGAGAUCAAACAGAAGUAAUGAUAAUAAAAUGGGAGUGAAUAUACAAUGGCAUUGGAGUGAAUUUGAUAACACCAAGGGUGGCUUUUUCUCAGGAUUCCAAAACAUCCAUACCCAUGCUAACCAAACUCAAUCCUUUGCUAUAAUAGCCAGUGAAAGUGAAGGGGAAAAAAAAUACAGAGCAUUUGGCUUCCUUAGUUGGCUUUGGAGAAGGUGUGAGAGAGAGCUGGGCACAGGGUUGUUCGCGCGAAGAAUAAAAGAAUUGUUGGCUGCUAAACGGAAAACAUCAAAGCAGAGAGAGAGAGAGAGAGAGAGAGAUGAACCACUAUAAACGGCUGCAAUAGGAGUGAUGAGGAGGAGAAGGGUUUGCUAUGGAAGCUUUGGCGCUGGUUGGGGAUUGGUUUUGGUGUCGACCUAGAGGCAAUCAACUUUAUUUGGUUUUUGUACCAGUUACUUGCAAAAAGAUAAUAAGCUUCCAAUAUUGAGCUUAAAGAAGACUGUAGCAGAUGAAGCAGGGGCAAUCUUACAGGACAAACUGAGGCAGCUGUCUCCUGCAACCUAGGAUUUUCAGAAUCUCAGCACGCUUUCUGUUAGGUUUCAGAAUUUUUAGCUUUGUGUAAAUACACUGCUGUGUAAAACUACAUCAGAUGUGACGUUACUGUUCACCAAAAUUUCUUGUUUUUCAGUGAGGAGUGGAUAAGUUUUCUAAA